rnacentral:rRNA from 1 species
UUAGCCAGCAUGUCAGUACAAGCCUCAUUAAGGUGAAACCGCGAAUGGCUCAUUAAAUCACACCUAAUAUCCUGGACCUUGCCAGUUACUUGGAUAACUGCGGUAAUUCUGGAGCUAAUACAUGCCCUGCAGCCCCGAACUUACGUGAGGGGCGCUUUUAUUAGACCAAAACCAAACGGCGCCUCGCGCGCCGUCCCCCUGGUGACUCUGAAUAACUUUUUGCUGAUCGCACGACUCCACGUCGGCGACGUGUCCUCCUAAGGUGUGCCCUAUCAACUGUCGACUGUGGCAUAGACGCCCACAGUGGUUUUGACGGGUAACGGGGAAUCAGGGUUCGAUUCCGGAGAGGGAGCCUGAGAAACGGCUACCACUUCUAAGGAAGGCAGCAGGCACGCAAAUUACCCACUGGCCGCAGGCCGAGGUAGUGACGAAAAAUAACGAUACCGGACUCAUCCGAGGCCCGGUAAUCGGAAUGAGAACACUUUAUAACCUUUAACGAGGAACCAUUGGAGGGCAAGUCUG